rnacentral:rRNA from 1 species
CCUACGGGGGGCUGCAGUGGGGAAUAUUGGACAAUGGGCGAAAGCCUGAUCCAGCCAUGCCGCGUGUGUGAAGAAGGCCUUCGGGUUGUAAAGCACUUUCAGUGGGGAAGAAAGCCUUGGGGCUAAUACCCUCGAGGUAGGACAUCACCCACAGAAGAAGCACCGGCUAACUCCGUGCCAGCAGCCGCGGUAAUACGGAGGGUGCGAGCGUUAAUCGGAAUUACUGGGCGUAAAGCGCGCGUAGGCGGUCUGAUAAGCCGGUUGUGAAAGCCCCGGGCUCAACCUGGGAACGGCAUCCGGAACUGUCAGGCUAGAGUGCAGGAGAGGAAGGUAGAAGUCCCGGUGUAGCGGUGAAAUGCGUAGAGAUCGGGAGGAAUACCAGUGGCGAAGGCGGCCUUCUGGACUGACACUGACGCUGAGGUGCGAAAGCGUGGGUAGCAAACAGGAUUAGAUACCCUAGUAGUC